AUUGAACGCUGGCGGCAUGCUUUACACAUGCAAGUCGAACGGCAGCACGGGGGCAACCCUGGUGGCGAGUGGCGAACGGGUGAGUAAUAUAUCGGAACGUACCCGGAAAUGGGGGAUAACGUAGCGAAAGUUACGCUAAUACCGCAUAUGCCCUAAGGGGGAAAGCGGGGGAUUCGCAAGAACCUCGCGUUUUCGGAGCGGCCGAUAUCGGAUUAGCUAGUAGGUGAGGUAAAGGCUCACCUAGGCGACGAUCCGUAGCUGGUCUGAGAGGACGACCAGCCACACUGGAACUGAGACACGGUCCAGACUCCUACGGGAGGCAGCAGUGGGGAAUUUUGGACAAUGGGCGCAAGCCUGAUCCAGCCAUGCCGCGUGAGUGAAGAAGGCCUUCGGGUUGUAAAGCUCUUUCAGCCGGAAAGAAAACGCGCAGGUUAAUAACCUGUGCGGAUGACGGUACCGGAAGAAGAAGCACCGGCUAACUACGUG
rnacentral:rRNA from 1 species